GGGUUGUGAGGUUAAGCGACUAAGCGUACACGGUGGAUGCCCUGGCAGUCAGAGGCGAUGAAGGACGUGCUAAUCUGCGAUAAGCGUCGGUAAGGUGAUAUGAACCGUUAUAACCGGCGAUUUCCGAAUGGGGAAACCCAGUGUGAUUCGUCACACUAUCAUUAACUGAAUCCAUAGGUUAAUGAGGCGAACCGGGGGAACUGAAACAUCUAAGUACCCCGAGGAAAAGAAAUCAACUGAGAUUCCCCCAGUAGCGGCGAGCGAACGGGGAG
rnacentral:rRNA from 1 species